rnacentral:rRNA from 1 species
UGGGGAAUCUUGCGCAAUGGGCGAAAGCCUGACGCAGCCAUGCCGCGUGAAUGAUGAAGGUCUUAGGAUUGUAAAAUUCUUUCACCGGGGACGAUAAUGACGGUACCCGGAGAAGAAGCCCCGGCUAACUUCGUGCCAGCAGCCGCGGUAAUACGAAGGGGGCUAGCGUUGCUCGGAAUUACUGGGCGUAAAGGGCGCGUAGGCGGACAUUUAAGUCAGGGGUGAAAUCCCAGAGCUCAACUCUGGAACUGCCUUUGAUACUGGGUGUCUUGAGUGUGAGAGAGGUAUGUGGAACUCCGAGUGUAGAGGUGAAAUUCGUAGAUAUUCGGAAGAACACCAGUGGCGAAGGCGACAUACUGGCUCAUUACUGACGGUGAGGCGCGAAAGCGUGGGGAGCAAACAGGAUUAGAUACCCUGGUAGUCCACGCCGUAAACGAUGAUUGCUAGUUGUCGGGCUGCAUGCAGUUCGGUGACGCAGCUAACGCA